AUUGAACGCUGGCGGCAUGCUUUACACAUGCAAGUCGAACGGCAGCGGGGAGGAGCUUGCCUCUCUGCCGGCGAGUGGCGAACGGGUGAGUAAUACAUCGGAACGUGUCGAGAAGAGGGGGAUAACCACCCGAAAGGGUGGCUAAUACCGCAUAAAUUCUGAGGAAGAAAGCUGGGGACCUAGGAAUAGGCCUAGCGCUUUUUGAGCGGCCGAUGUCGGAUUAGCUAGUUGGUGAGGUAAAGGCUCACCAAGGCGAAGAUCUGUAGCGGGUCUGAGAGGAUGAUCCGCCACACUGGGACUGAGACACGGCCCAGACUCCUACGGGAGGCAGCAGUGGGGAAUUUUGGACAGUGGGGGCAACCCUGAUCCAGCCAUGCCGCGUGUAUGAAGAAGGCCUUAGGGUUGUAAAGUACUUUUGUUAGGGAAGAAAAGUCAGCUGUGAAUAAUGGCUGAUACUGACGGUACCUAAAGAAUAAGCACCGGCUAACUACGU
rnacentral:rRNA from 1 species